AUUGAACGCUGGCGGCAUGCUUUAUACAUGCAAGUCGAACGGCAGCGCGGGCUUCGGCCUGGCGGCGAGUGGCGAACGGGUGAGUAAUGCAUCGGAACGUGCCCAGUAGUGGGGGAUAGCCCGGCGAAAGCCGGAUUAAUACCGCAUACGACCUGAGGGUGAAAGCGGGGGACCGAAAGGCCUCGCGCUAUUGGAGCGGCCGAUGUCGGAUUAGCUAGUUGGUGGGGUAAAGGCUUACCAAGGCGACGAUCCGUAGCUGGUCUGAGAGGACGACCAGCCACACUGGGACUGAGACACGGCCCAGACUCCUACGGGAGGCAGCAGUGGGGAAUUUUGGACAAAGGGGGCAACCCUGAUCCAGCCAUGCCGCGUGCGGGAAGAAGGCCUUCGGGUUGUAAACCGCUUUUGUUCGGGAAGAAAUCCUCUGGGCUAAUACCCCGGGGGGAUGACGGUACCGGAAGAAUAAGCACCGGCUAACUACGUG
rnacentral:rRNA from 1 species